rnacentral:ncRNA from 1 species
UUAAAUGCUUUGAAAGAGAUUAGUAAUUCCGUGGAAUGUUGAAGAGAGUCCUCGUCGGUGGGAGAGGAUACUGGAAACUGAAUGAAUGGACUCUGGAGCUUUCAUCCUGAAUCAAGUAGGGAUGGACGUCGGGUGCGUUAAACCUUUGAGUGGGUUUCAACCAAUGAGAGUGGUACCGCGGAUUAUAUUCGUCUCUAUG